GGCGAGCGGCGAGCACAGGCCACGGGAGCUGAGCGCAGCAGAGAGCAGCCGGAGUCCGCGCCUGACUCCGCGCGGGUCCUGAGCCGGCCGCAGCUUGCCAGGAUCCCCGGCGUCCUUCUCGCGCCGCUUCACGAAGAGGGCGCCUUCGCCGCUCGCCCAGCCGGAGUGCGCACGGGCCCGCUGGAAACCGCACUCGCCGCUCCCUGGGCAGGCCGGGGCACCCGGGCACGCAGGGCGCGCCUGGCGAGCGCCCCGGGAGGUGAGCAGUGGUCGCGGGCAGCGGGCAGCCGCUCAGCGGGGACCCGCCAGGGCUGGGGGCGCCCGAGUCCGAGGGGGACGACGCUUCUCGCACCCGCCACGACCCCCUUGGGCACCCACUCCCGGGCGGCGUGCAGGACCAGCGGCGGCCGUGCAGGCGGAGGACUUCGGCGCGGCUCCUCCUGGGUGUGACCCCGGGCGCG
rnacentral:ncRNA from 2 species